AGCGAACGCUGGCGGCAGGCCUAACACAUGCAAGUCGAACGAACUCUUCGGAGUUAGUGGCGGACGGGUGAGUAACACGUGGGAACGUGCCUUUAGGUUCGGAAUAACUCAGGGAAACUUGUGCUAAUACCGAAUGUGCCCUUCGGGGGAAAGAUUUAUCGCCUUUAGAGCGGCCCGCGUCUGAUUAGCUAGUUGGUGAGGUAAAGGCUCACCAAGGCGACGAUCAGUAGCUGGUCUGAGAGGAUGAUCAGCCACAUUGGGACUGAGACACGGCCCAAACUCCUACGGGAGGCAGCAGUGGGGAAUCUUGCGCAAUGGGCGAAAGCCUGACGCAGCCAUGCCGCGUGAAUGAUGAAGGUCUUAGGAUUGUGAAAUUCUUUCACCGGGGACGAUAAUGACGGUACCCGGAGAAGAAGCCCCGGCUAACUUCGUG
rnacentral:rRNA from 1 species